GCCUGGCUGGCUCAGUAGGUAGAGCACAUGACUCUCAAUCUUGGGGUCAUGGGUUUGAGCCCCAAGUCAGGUG